rnacentral:rRNA from 1 species
AUUGAACGCUGGCGGCAUGCCUUACACAUGCAAGUCGAACGGUAACGGGCCUUCGGGUGCCGACGAGUGGCGAACGGGUGAGUAAUGCAUCGGAACGUACCUUUCAGUGGGGGAUAACGUAGCGAAAGUUACGCUAAUACCGCAUAUUCUGUGAGCAGGAAAGCAGGGGAUCGCAAGACCUUGCGCUGAUGGAGUGGCCGAUGUCAGAUUAGCUAGUUGGUGAGGUAAAGGCUCACCUAGGCCACGAUCUGCAGCGGGUCUGAGAGGAUGAUCCGCCACACUGGGACUGAGACACGGCCCAGACUCCUACGGGAGGCAGCAGUGGGGAAUUUUGGACAAUGGGGGCAACCCUGAUCCAGCCAUGCCGCGUGAGUGAAGAAGGCCUUCGGGUUGUAAAGCUCUUUCGGCCGGGAAGAAAUCGCACAGGCUAAUACCUUGUGUGGAUGACGGUACCGGAAUAAGAAGCACCGGCUAACUACGUGCCAGCCGCCGCAGUAACAC